UUCAAGCUUUAAGUUUUAAUCAGCCCUGUUUUUCCUUGCUUUCUCGCUACCUCCUCUCCUGUUGUGUGAUCUGAUUGCAUAGACAUCUGUGCUGUUCCCCUCUUUUCUCAGUCUUUCGGGUCAGGUCAGGCAGAUGCGUCUCCCUGCUGGUUACUUUAGACCUUAUUCUUUUUGAUGGAGGCCUUUUCUCAGACCAGGUUAACUAUUUCUUCUGUUCCCAGGCACAGAGCUCUUUGAUGGGACUUUCUUCUACCCACCACUCAUCACCCUACCCACUUUCCACAGCCGCCCAGGGAGGCUGGGUAAACAAGGACGCGGGUUCUGCCAAUUUGUUCUUACAAAACAUAGGGAUUUGGGGGCCUGCGGCCUCCCUUAUACAAACAUAAAUGCCCAGUCCUCAAUUCCUCUUGUAGCUCACAAACUCCAAGCUCCAAGAGACCUUUUGAGGCAAAACAGUUUGUCAAUGGAAUUUUGGAGGAAAAGGCAGGAGGACCUGCGAUUUUGGCUGAAUAUAAAGAACAUGGCAAACUCACAGACUCAACACGGCGACACUUAGUCAAUAUUCUAGUUGCAUACAUAACUGACAAAUAAGCGUAAGCCACAGUUAAAUCGAACAAUUACAUUUCUGUAAUUUUAGUAAAUCAUUUAAUGUUGUAACUACUCCCACGUGUUCUUCUCAAAGACGCAUCCCUUCCAAAGAAACAAAAAUGUGUUGUGCUUUGGGAAUUGUAACACUAUUCCCAUCACUCAACAACUGGAUAUGUAAGUACUGAAAGCUUUUCUCAUUGUGCUAAAAUACUUAAUGAAAGAUUUUAAAAUGGAGUGUUGUAGAAUAUUUCAGGCUUUGAGCAAACAGCCAAGACUCUUGUCACUGUUGCUGUAAGUCUAUUACAUUUUGUACAAGCAUUUGCUCACUAAUGCCUAGUAUAUAGAAAAGUUCAGAUUUGUUAAAUGUUUGGAUUGAUCUACAAUCUUUUUGUUUUUUGUAAAGGAACAUUCCUAUGACCCCAAGAGCAAUCAAGGAUACGUAUCUUGGUGGCUGAAAACAGUCUCACGGCAAAGCAAACACCACAGCAAACAGGAUGCCAGGUCAAGUGGAACAUCAGAAACUGAGGGCAGUGGAGGUCCCACUGCUCAUAGAGCCACUUGGAACCACUUGGAGCAGCAGUUGGAGGGUGACCAAUGCAAGGAUGCGAUAUCUUUUAUGAAUCAUUGUACAUACAAGGACCAGAUUUUUGAGAAGAUGAAAGUAACAUUCAAGAAUCGGCAGCAGCUUACCCAUGAUGCAGUAAAGUCCAACAUGGUGCUUUCAGUUUUUCCACGAUUUCUUGAUACUAAAGGAUUGGUACUUCAAGACUUUCACAUCAAAUUUGGCACUGAAACAGCUUCUUGAACAAUGGGACGGUCUAAAGCCCAAGAUCAUCUCAGAGGCCAAAACCCUUACUUCCAACUUGCAUCUCAACAGCCUGCUUGCAGCUGUACAGGGCAACGGACAAAACAACAAGCCUGAAUGGCAAGGAUGGGACAGCGACAUAUCCUCUUCUUGCCACCUUCAACUGGUGGUAGGAACAAAUCCACCAAGAUAAGCAUCCAGGAGGCUAUGGACUAUAUCGUGUAGUUUCACAAGUCUUGCCGCAGUCUAACUGAACACAUUGAGAAGACUGAGGGUCUUCAACCACAUCUCAUUGCAGUUGGCUCUGCAAAGGACAACAUCCACAAUGUCUAUAUCGUGUUGGAUGGACAACUCAUCCCAUGCCAGGCAAAGUCUUCCCUUGCUGCUUUUGAUGAACUUUUUAAAGCAUAUUAUAUAAAGCUGUUGUUGACCCUACAGAGAUAAAGUUAGGGGUAAUAUUUGAUAGUAGAUUGAACCGGGUGACACGCACAUACGAUCAAGUCCCUGUAACUGACAAAUUCAUUUACAUUCCCCUGUUAAGACACUUUGCAUUUUAUAUUUAGGAAUUCAGAGAUAUGUAAACAUAUGUCAAAUCCAAGUGAGAGUAGCACUGUCUAUAAAGAUUUUUGUGAUGGAAGUUAUUAUAAAAGUCACCCACUAUUCAGUAAAAAAACAAAAUGCACUUCAGAUACAGUUAUUUUAUGAUGAAUUUGAAUUUGCUAAUACCCUGGGCUCUAAGCAAGGCAUCCACAAAAUCAGAGCCAUUUACUUUAUUCUCAGGAACUUUACACCAAAAAUGAGUUCAAGUUUAAUGAAUAUUCAUUUACUGUCAUUAUUCCAUGCACAAGAUAUUAAGAAUUACGGAUUUGACGCAAUUUUGCGGCCCCUUGUUGAAGAUUUGAAAGUCCUUGAAAGUUCAGGAAUUCAAGUUCCUUUCUCCAAAGAGCCAUUCUUUGGCACAAUUGCCCAGGUUACAGGGGAUAACUUAGGCAUACACACACUUUUUGGAUUCAUGGAAUCUUUCAGUGCCCAUUACUUCUGUCAGUUCUGUUUAGUAGACAAGAAAACAUCGCAGUCAGUUUUCAGUGAAGAUCACACUAAUAUUAUAUUACGAAACAAAGUUUUACAAUAUAAUGCAUGAUAUCCUUGAGGGUGUUGGACAAUAUGAGAUAAAGUUACUUCUUGAAAAUCUCUCUGGCAUUAUAUCGAGACAAGAGAUUUAUAACAGAAUUUAUUCUUUCAAUUAUGGCUACUUGGAAAGAAAAAAUCGGCCUACUAGAUUAAAUCUAGAGAAGGCAAGGAAUGGUAUUGGACUGAAUGCCAUUCAGACAUUCUGUUUAAUUCUGAAUAUUCCUCUGAUAUUUGGAGACAUUGUUGAUGAGGGAAACAAACACUGGCACUUCUUAAUACUUUUGUUAUUGCAGAUCAUUAACAUAGUGUUUUCUUCUGUAGUUACAGAAGGUAUGACCUUAUUGUAGAUCAUCAUAGUCUCUUCAAAGAGUUAUAUCCACACAAGAAUUUGAUUCCAAAGCACCAUUACAUGUUACAUUAUCUGCGCUGCAUACGCAAGAUUGGUCCAUUAUUACAUGUAUGGCAAUGCGCUUCGAAGCUAAACACAAGUUUUUUUUAAAUAUACAAAAUUUCAAAAACAUCACAAAGUCUCUUGCGUUAAAACACCAGUAUGCAAUUGCUUAUCAUUGGGAAAGCAUGCCUGUUAGAAAUGUUGAAUAUGGGCCCUUGAUAACUCUGCAGGUUGAGGAUUUGCCUUACCAUGACAUUAUUCUUGAAAAGUAUCCACAUAUUUGGAAUGGUGACAUCACAGUAGCUUCAUGGUUAAGACAUUCUGGAACUGAAUAUCAUCAUGACCUACUGAUUUGCAAUAAAAUGGAGAAUGACCUACAGGUUUCAGUAAAAUUACUGAAAUUGUUCUAAUAGAUGACCAAAACAUUUUGGUGACUAAAGACUUUGAAACUGUAGGUUUUGUUGAGCACCUUCAUGCUUACCAUGUCAGAGAACAGAAUGUUUUUGGUCUGUCAAGAGUAGAGGAUCUUCCUUUUCAUCAUAUGGUUUUGAAGAACCAUAUUUGUAUAUUGUUCCAGUGCAUUGUUUUGUGCAUGAAGACCUUUAAUCUUCAUGCACCAAUUUCUUAUUUGUUGGAGAGCAGACAAGCUAAACUUUUUUUUCCCCCAUGAAUGUAAAAUUUAUUUUCAAAUUCAGUCCAAUUGAAUGGACACUUGACUGCUUUUAUUAGUAAAAGAAUAGUAUUGUUGCUUUUAUAAGGGCAUGUUCAUGUUUACCAUGUAAGAACAGAAUGUUUGAGAAUGUUUUUCUCUGUUAAAAGAGUGGAUAAGCUGCCCUUUUUCCGACAACCUUUGCUGAGUUAAAAACAUGUUAAAUGUUUUGUUUUUAUAUUUGAUAUUGUGCAAUUUUUAUAUACUGUCUUAUAUUCUUGUACUCAUUUCUGAUUUGUCAGAACAGAAGUUAAUGGAUUUGAAUGUUUGUUUGCAAAUUGCUAAUUGUUUAAUAUAUUGCUUUUAUCUCUGAAAAGAGUUUUCUC